AAAGCUUAAAAAUGGCAGAGGUUACUUUUAAGUAAUUUUCUUGAUUAAUGCUCGGUUAGACCAUCCCUUUGAAUCUUGUGCUUGCUUGCAUAAGCUUUUAAGUACUUAUAAGGGCACGUACAUAAUGGUGCACACCCCCCUCACAUGGAGGGGGUCCACAUACAAUAAAUCAUGCAUUGGCCCUCCUCCAUGUGAGGGAGGUGUAACCCCCUAUGUACACCUCGAGGUGUACAAACAGUAUUACCCGUACUUAUAAAUAGUGGGUUUCAAGGAAUAUGGGGUUAAAAAGUAGGUAAAUUUUGCAAUUAUAUGCUUUGGCAAACAUUCGAUUAAUAAUUUCAAUUGAUUUUCAGGUUCCGGGCAUCCUGUUUACACCAAUCUGCCCACACUCACUAUCCUUUCGGCCUUUGAUUUUGCCCGAGCACGUGACUGUUCGAGUAGUAGUACCCUUCAAUAGCAGAAGUCAUGCUUGGGUAUCAUUUGAUGGGAAGGACCGGAAACAAUUGGGACCAGGCGACGCACUUGUGUGCAGCAUGGCAACUUGGCCCGUUCCAACCGCGUGUCAAGUUGAUUCGACUAGUGACUUUCUACGCAGCAUCCAUGACGGUCUUCAUUGGAAUUUGAGGAAGACUCAGUCGUUUGAUGGCCCACGCGAUCCGUGAAGAGCAAAUUUUCUUCCUUAAAUUUAGAAAAUCAAAUUUCUAUGGAAUCCAUUUCUCUCCCCAAGUAUCACGGAGUUCUCCAAAUAGGUGCUUCAUUAUGUUUCAAGUAUUUGAUGCAUAGGUUCUUGACGUUUGUAGAUUAACCGAACAAUCACUGUGCCAGAAAUGGACGAAAUUGGAAAAGCAAUUCUCUCGGUUGAAUAUAGAAGAAGUAAUUGGAUAAAUUUAAUUAUAGUUUUGAAUUUGCCUGCCUUCAAUUUUAAUAUUUGAGAAGAUUCUGGGCAAGAAUGGUUCAUGGUUAAUAUCUGGAACUCAAUCUUAUUACGGAAGUGAAGAUGUUUUUCAUUUUACAUCUUUGCCCCUUUCCGGACUUGUAUAAUUGAUAUGGUGAUCUUCUAUAUGAAUGAUCAGUGAAUUGACAUCACAAGUGGGGUUUAUGAAUAAUUGAUCCCAUCCCAUUACAUGGGCCAUAUAAUUCACAACUUCACAACUUCUACACCAUGGUUUAGAUGGAUUACUUUUUGCAUAAAAUUGCCUCUCCUUUUUGAAAUUUUUGAUCUAUAAUUCUGUUACUUAUUUUUUGGCUACUUCGGAAGUUCUGCCAAUUUUUCUGUCAAUUUUUAUUGUAUAUUGUACCUUUUCUUUUGUUAUAACUUAUAUGUUAUACAUAUCAGAGAAUUCUUCCUUAGUAUCAUUACUUUGCAAUGCUUUCUGAUAAAGCUUUAUUUCUCCAACGCUGAGGAGCUGAUGAACAUCCAAUUUGAUUCGUUUUAUUUCUAGUUUAAAUAUUGACUUUAAAGUUUAUGGGCCAAAGUUUGAGGAAUUAGUUGCGUGCAUCUUUGAGUUUCAUUCCAUAUCUCAGAUUUUUGUGUUAAAUUUCUCUCUGGAGUUGAGCUCUGUUGCCACUGGCGGCAUAAUUAUUUCCUCACGCGUCUUUACUAUAAUUUUACUUAAUUGGCUGUGAAACUUGUUAGACUUAUUAUUCCUGUUUUCAUCCCAGAUGGUUAAAAGAGCAGAAAAAGUUAAAUAUCUUUGUGGAGCCACAAGUUAAAACUGAACUUUUGACAGAGUCAUCGUACUACAACUUUGUACAAACCUGGCAAGAUGGUAAGCUGUGAAAUUUUCUGUGGUUAAAAAACUUAGAACAAGGAGUGUUUUCUUGCAUUUGUUUAAAAUUUGUUUCUGUUUCAUUGUUAUUGUUAUCUGGAUUUGCGAAGACAAGGAAAUGCUGCUUCUGCAUAUGAAAGUUGACCUUGUUGUGACUCUGGGUGGAGACGGAACUGUUCUUUGGGUACGUAAACUGUUUGGUCUUCUUCAGCAUAAUUGAUCUUGUUUUUCAAUUUCUGGAAUAAUUAUAGUAUUAUACUUUCUGUUUGGCUGCGAUGACACUUACAACUGGCUUCUUAUUUGCAGGCUGCAUCCAGGUUCAAAGGGCCAGUUCCUCCCGUCGUCCCAUUCUCUUUAGGUUCACUUGGCUUCAUGACCCCAUUCCGUAUCCUCAUUCUUCCCAUAAAGGGGUUCUUAUUUUUCAUGUACACAUUAGAGUGCUUUCAUCAAAAUUUACGUUUCUUUCUUAUGUACGUAUCUUUAACAUAAAAAAUCAGAUAGUGAGCAUUACCGUGAGUAUCUUAAUUCUAUCCUUCGCGGUCCCAUUAGUAUUACGUUAAGACAUCGAUUGCAGUGCCAUAUCAUUCGGGAUUCAGCUAAAAGUGAAUACGAGAGUGAAGGACCAAUGCUUGUCCUGAACGAGGUUACAAUUGACCGUGGAAUUUCAUCCUUCCUCACAAAUCUGGAAUGCUAUUGUGACAACUCUUUUGUUACUAUUGUACAAGGAGAUGGUUUAAUAUUAUCAACGCCGUCUGGGAGCACGGCAUAUUCCCUGGCUGCUGGAGGAUCAAUGGUUCAUCCUCAGGUACGUCUUGAACCAUUUGUCGUUCCGUCUGCCAGUCAUUUUGAGCCUGUUUGCAAAGCUUAAAAAUGGCAGAGGUUACUUUUAAGUAAUUUUCUUGAUUAAUGCUCGGUUAGACCAUCCCUUUGAAUCUUGUGCUUGCUUGCAUAAGCUUUUAAGUACUUAUAAGGGCACGUACAUAAUGGUGCACACCCCCCUCACAUGGAGGGGGUCCACAUACAAUAAAUCAUGCAUUGGCCCUCCUCCAUGUGAGGGAGGUGUAACCCCCUAUGUACACCUCGAGGUGUACAAACAGUAUUACCCGUACUUAUAAAUAGUGGGUUUCAAGGAAUAUGGGGUUAAAAAGUAGGUAAAUUUUGCAAUUAUAUGCUUUGGCAAACAUUCGAU
rnacentral:lncRNA from 1 species